GCUUAGACGACCAGAAAACCUAUCAUCUCAACAAGCAUCUGAAACCCAAUUAGAAGAAAGUAGUGAUUUAGCUGAAUCAAGAUGCUUUAAAUCAGUCUGUAACCAAUUACUUGAGACUGACCCAAGUUUGGAAUUCUCUUUAGGAAGACCCGAUUGGCGAAGAAAACAACAUGAUUAAAUUUAUCAGCAAAGCUGUCGGCUGUUGCCCUUAUCAAUAUGCAUGCGACUAGCUUAAUUUACUUCAAUUUUUUUUCUUUGUUUAGUAAGAAAUGAAAAUAUAGAUGAAAUGAAGAUAUAAAGAAAGGUGAUGAUGUUGUAGCAGUUCCAUCUGCCAAUGAAAGAAAGAAGGGUUGUAGUGUUCUAUCACUUUCAAUGACUGUAUAUAUAAUUUUUGUAGGAGUGAUGUGGG
rnacentral:misc_RNA from 1 species